rnacentral:tRNA from 1 species
ACUUGGAUAACUUAAAUAUAAAGUUUAACAUUGAAGAUGUUAAUAUGGGUAAUUAACCCUCUAAGUA